rnacentral:rRNA from 1 species
AACGAACGCUGGCGGCAUGCCUAACACAUGCAAGUCGAACGAGACCUUCGGGUCUAGUGGCGCACGGGUGCGUAACGCGUGGGAAUCUGCCCUUGGGUUCGGGAUAACAGCUGGAAACGACUGCUAAUACCGGAUGAUGACUUCGGUCCAAAGAUUUAUCGCCCAGGGAUGAGCCCGCGUCGGAUUAGCUAGUUGGUGAGGUAAGAGCUCACCAAGGCGACGAUCCGUAGCUGGUCUGAGAGGAUGAUCAGCCACACUGGGACUGAGACACGGCCCAGACUCCUACGGGAGGCAGCAGUGGGGAAUAUUGGACAAUGGGCGAAAGCCUGAUCCAGCAAUGCCGCGUGAGUGAUGAAGGCCUUAGGGUUGUAAAGCUCUUUUACCCGGGAUGAUAAUGACAGUACCGGGAGAAUAAGCCCCGGCUAACUCCGUG